rnacentral:rRNA from 1 species
AUGUGCAUACCGAAGAAGAAAGGAGGCAUGGGAUUUAGAGAUAUUCAUUGCUUCAAUCUUGCAUUAUUGGCUAAGCAAGCUUGGCGCUUGAUUGAUAAUUCGGAUUCCUUAUGUGCUCAGAUCUUAAAGGCGAAAUAUUUCCCAGAUUGUGAUCUCAUGAAUGCUACUUUGAAAAGCAAAUCUUCAUAUACUUGAAAAAGUAUCAUGGUGUGGAAACCCUGA